GCAAGUGGAAACCGGACACAACAGUAGGA
rnacentral:piRNA from 1 species